UACGUAGGGGGCAAGCGUUGUCCGGAUUCAUUGGGCGUAAAGGGUGCGUAGGCGGCGCGGUAAGUCGGGUGUGAAAUCUCGGAGCUUAACUCCGAAACUGCAUUCGAUACUGCCGUGCUUGAGGACUGGAGAGGAGACUGGAAUUUACGGUGUAGCGGUGAAAUGCGUAGAUAUCGUAAGGAAGACCAGUGGCGGAAGGCGGGUCUCUGGACAGUUCCUGACGCUGAGGCACGAAGGUCAGGGGAGCAAACGGG
rnacentral:rRNA from 1 species